GCCUGGCAGGCUCAGUUUAUGGAGCAUGUGACUCUUGAUCUCGGGGUUGUGAGUUCGAACCCCACGUUGGGUG
rnacentral:tRNA from 1 species